GAUGAACGCUGGCGGCGUGCUUAACACAUGCAAGUCGAACGAAGCACUUUGAAAGCUUGCUUUUGGAGUGACUGAGUGGCGGACGGGUGAGUAACGCGUGGGUAACCUGCCUUAUACAGGGGGAUAACAGUUGGAAACGACUGCUAAUACCGCAUAAGCGCACAGUGCCGCAUGGCACAGUGUGAAAAACUCCGGUGGUAUAAGAUGGACCCGCGUCUGAUUAGCUAGUUGGUGAGGUAACGGCUCACCAAGGCGACGAGCAGUAGCCGGCUGGGGAGAGUGAUCGGCCACAUUGGGACUGAGACACGGCCCAAACUCCUACGGGAGGCAGCAGUGGUGAAUAUUGCACAAUGGGGGGAACCAUGAUGCAGCAACGCCGCGUGAGUGAAGAAGUAUUUCGGUAUGUAAAGCUCUAUCAGCAGGGAAGAUAAUGACGGUACCUGUCUAAGAAGCUCCGGCUAAAUACGUGCCAGCCGCCGCAAUAAUAC
rnacentral:rRNA from 1 species